UACGUAGGGUGCAAGCGUUGUCCGGAAUUAUUGGGCGGAAAGAGCUCGUAGGCGGUCUGUCGCGUCGGCUGUGAAAACCCGGAGCUCAACUCCGGGCCUGCAGUCGAUACGGGCAAACUGGAGUGUUGCAGGGGAGACUGGAAUUCCUGGUGUAGCGGUGAAAUGCGCAGAUAUCAGGAGGAACACCGGUGGCGAAGGCGGGUCUCUGGGCAACAACUGACGCUGAGGAGCGAAAGCGUGGGGAGCGAACAGG
rnacentral:rRNA from 1 species